CAGCAGCCGCGGUAAUACGAAGGGUGCAAGCGUUAAUCGGAAUUACUGGGCGUAAAGCGUGCGUAGGCGGUUUGUUAAGUCUGUUGUGAAAUCCCCGGGCUCAACCUGGGAAUGGCAAUGGAUACUGGCAAGCUAGAGUGUGUCAGAGGAUGGUGGAAUUCCCGGUGUAGCGGUGAAAUGCGUAGAGAUCGGGAGGAACAUCAGUGGCGAAGGCGGCCAUCUGGGACAACACUGACGCUGAGGCACGAAAGCGUGGGGAGCGAACAGGAUUAGAUACCCGCGUAGUCCCUGUCUCUUAUAC
rnacentral:rRNA from 1 species